rnacentral:rRNA from 1 species
GCAUAUCAAUAAGCGGAGGAAAAGAAACCAACCGGGAUGCCUUAGUAACGGCGAGUGAAGCGGCAAAAGCUCAAAUUUGAAAUCUGGUACCUUCGGUGCCCGAGUUGUAAUUUGGAGAGGGCAACUUUGGGGCCGUUCCUUGUCUAUGUUCCUUGGAACAGGACGUCAUAGAGGGUGAGAAUCCCGUGUGGCGAGGAGUGCGGUUCUUUGUAAAGUGCCUUCGAAGAGUCGAGUUGUUUGGGAAUGCAGCUCUAAGUGGGUGGUAAAUUCCAUCUAAAGCUAAAUAUUGGCGAGAGACCGAUAGCGAACAAGUACAGUGAUGGAAAGAUGAAAAGAACUUUGAAAAGAGAGUGAAAAAGUACGUGAAAUUGUUGAAAGGGAAGGGCAUUUGAUCAGACAUGGUGUUUUGUGCCCUCUGCUCCUUGUGGGUAGGGGAAUCUCGCAUUUCACUGGGCCAGCAUCAGUUUUGGUGGCAGGAUAAAUCCAUAGGAAUGUAGCUUGCCUCGGUAAGUAUUAUAGCCUGUGGGAAUACUGCCAGCUGGGACUGAGGACUGCGACGUAAGUCAAGGAUGCUGGCAUAAUGGUUAUAUGCCGCCCGUCUUGAAACACGGACC